rnacentral:lncRNA from 1 species
UCUUCUUCUCCACUCUACCGUUCACGUGGCUGUGGGGAUGAGCAUGUGACCCGCCUAGACCAAUCACAGUAGCCUCAUCCUUUUGGCCAAAAUGAUUGGCCAGGAAUGGGCAAGUGGCCUGCAACGCCAAUCAGAAGACUUCUGGGAGAUGUUUUCAACGCCGAGUUGGAAGAAGACGAGACACCAGAGCAAGCUUUCUCUCUCUGCGCCGUACUGCACAAAAAAGAGACCAUGUGAGGACACAGCGAGAAGGUGGUUGUCUGCAAGCCAGGAAGCAGGCCCUCACCAAGAACCAACCUGCCCGUGCCUUGAUCUUAGACUUCC